rnacentral:rRNA from 1 species
AGUAACGAAAACAUUGGUGAGAAUCCAAUGCCCCGAAAACCCAAGGUUUCCUCCGCAAGGUCGUCCACGGAGGGUGAGUUAGGGCCUAAGAUCAGGCCGAAAGGCGUAGUCGAUGGACAACAGGUCAAUAUUCCUGUACUACCCCUUGUUGGUACGGAGGGACGGAGGAGGCUAGGUUAGCCGAAAGAUGGUUAUAGGUUUAAGGACACAAGGUGACCCUACUUUUUCAGGGUAAGAAGGGGUAGAGAAAAUGACUCGAGCCGAGAUCCGAGUACCAAGCGCUGCAGCGCUGAAGUAUGAGCCCCGUGGACUAGCGAUUGCUUCUCCACGAGGCUCAUACCAGGCGCUACGGCGCGCUGAAGUAUGUAACUGAUGCCAUACUCCCAGGAAAAGCUCUAACGACCUUCAACAAAAGGGUUCCUGUACCCGAAACCGACACAGGUGGGUAGGUAGAGAAUACCUUGGGG